UAGGGAAUAUUGGACAAUGGGCGCAAGCCUGAUCCAGCCAUCCCGCGUGAAGGAUUAAGGUCCUAUGGAUUGUAAACUUCUUUUCUCUGGGAAUAAAAACUGGAAUUCAUUCCGGCUUGAAGGUAUCAGAGGAAUAAGCACCGGCUAACUCCGUGCCAGCAGCCGCGGUAAUACGGAGGGUGCAAGCGUUAUCCGGAUUCACUGGGUUUAAAGGGUGCGUAGGUGGCUUUGUAAGUCAGUGGUGAAAGCC
rnacentral:rRNA from 1 species